GCCCGCUUGGCUCAGUGGUAGAGCGUGUCACUAGUAUCUCCAUGGAUCAAUGACAAGGUCAUCAGUUCGAUUCUGAUAGUGGGCA